UCAAUUUCAAGCAUGACGGAAGUUCUGACAAAAAAUUUCGAAAAUGGUUAAAUUUCAACCGUAAAAUCAAUGAAAAAACAGUAGCCAUCUUUGGACGCGCGUUUAACUUGUUUAUUUUUUUCCGCUGUGUGUCGAAUCGACUGAAUAUUAGUACAUUUUUCCAUUCAAAGAGGACGAAACAUCUUCCAAUUUCCCGUUGUGCUGGACCACAGGCUGUUUCAUAGGAUCCGGAUCAGGAGCUUAUAGUAAAAGAUUUGCAGGAGCAAACCACAGCUGUAUAAACGUUAGCUGUUCGGGAAGUGAAUUCCAAUAGUGAAGUAAUGAGAAGAGGAGCACUUCCACUUGCCCAGCGAAUCUGUCAGAUUCUUAAAGCUGCAAGUAGAAACAAAACACUACGGGCUACAGGAUCGGGUGCUGCGCGCUCAUUGGGAAUGAAACACCAGCGCUUAAUCCGGAAAUGGUGUUCGAAGAGGUUAACAAACGAAAUCAAAGCGCAACAAUUCCUCUCAGUUGGUGAAAAUAGUUUGAGUAUCUUUAUUGCCAACAUCCAACAGUGGAAAUGCCGGUUAGGUUAAGAACAAUUUUUUUCUUGUAUAUUUGGAUGUUCAUAUAUUCGUAAUAUAUUGUGAAAUAAAAGCUUUUUAGAACAACCACGAAA